rnacentral:rRNA from 1 species
AACGCAGGUGGUUUGGUAAGUCAGGGGUGAAAGUCCACAGCUUAACUGUGGCACUGCCUUUGAUACUACCUUUCUUGAGUGCAUGAGGGGGAAGCGGAAUUCCGAGUGUAGAGGUGAAAUUCGUAGAUAUUCGGAGGAACACCGGUGGCGAAGGCGGCUUCCUGGCAUGUAACUGACACUCAUGCUCGAAAGCGUGGGGAGCAAACAGGAUUAGAUACCCUGGUAGUCCACGCCCUAAACGAUGGGCACUAGGUGUGGGAGGUAUCGACCCCUUCCGUGCCGCAGCUAACGCAUUAAGUGCCCCGCCUGGGGAGUACGGCCGCAAGGUUGAA